rnacentral:rRNA from 1 species
GUGGGGAAUAUUGGGCAAUGGGCGAAAGCCUGACCCAGCAACGCCGCGUGAGGGAAGAAGGGUUUCGGCUCGUAAACCUCUGUCCUAUGGGACGAAGGAAGUGACGGUACCAUAGGAGGAAGCCCCGGCUAACUACGUGCCAGCAGCCGCGGUAAUACGUAGGGGGCGAGCGUUGUCCGGAAUGAUUGGGCGUAAAGGGCGCGUAGGCGGCCUGGUAAGUCUGGAGUGAAAGUCCUGCUUUUAAGGUGGGAAUUGCUUUGGAUACUGCUGGGCUUGAGUGCAGGAGAGGAAAGCGGAAUUACCGGUGUAGCGGUGAAAUGCGUAGAGAUCGGUAGGAACACCAGUGGCGAAGGCGGCUUUCUGGACUGAAACUGACGCUGAGGCGCGAAAGCGUGGGGAGCAAACAGGAUUAGAAACCCUAGUAGUCC